GACUCUUUUUAUUUCUAUCUCAAUCUCUCUGUGUAUAAAUUUCUAUUUCUCUCCCUCUGCUUCUUCUUAUUCCUAGAAACGUUACUUUUCCUCCAUAUUCUCACCUUGCAACCUCUGGAGACUUCAAGAUGUUGUGUUCUCAUGUUUGCAUGUGUCUUCAUGUGUCAGAGGCUGAGAUGUCCCAAGGUCUGCAGUUGGUACCUGGAGGCUCACGAGAACCAAUGGUGUAAAUUUCAGUCUGAAAGCCAUGAGACUCAAGAUCCAAGAAGAGCUGAUGUUCCCAUUCAAGUUUGAAGGUCAGUGAUCAAUGGAGUCUCUGGUGGUUUUGUGUCCAUGAAAAAUGUCAAUGGCACAGCCUGCUGAAUCUUACAAGCUGGUGACAUUUCUCUGCAUUUGAAGUAUAUUUUCCACCUUUGUUUCUGUAACCUGUUCUAAAAAUGUUUCUCCAUCCUUCAGGAAAUACAAUAAUAAAUCUUGAAAUUUUC